rnacentral:ncRNA from 1 species
UAAGGGGAUGCUGAAAACCUUGAAAAGAGUAAGCU